GGCUCUUGGGUUGUAAACCUCUUUUCUCAGGGAAUAAAAAAAUGAAGGUACCUGAGGAAUAAGCAUCGGCUAACUCCGUGCCAGCAGCCGCGGUAAUACGGAGGAUGCAAGCGUUAUCCGGAAUGAUUGGGCGUAAAGGGUCCGCAGGUGGCAUUGUAAGUCUGCUGUCAAAGAAUGAGGCUCAACCUCAUCAAGGCAGUGGAAACUACAAAGCUAGAGUACGUUCGGGGCAGAAGGAAUUCCUGGUGUAGCGGUGAAAUGCGUAGAGAUCAGGAAGAACACCGGUGGCGAAAGCGUUCUGCUAGGCCUGUACUGACACUGAGGGACGAAAGCUAGGGGAGCGAAUGGGAUUAGAUACCCCAGUAGUCCUAGCCGUAAACGAUGGAUACUAGGCGUGGCUUGUAUCGACCCGAGCCGUGCCGGAGCUAACGCGUUAAGUAUCCCGCCUGGGGAGUACGCACGCAAGUGUGAAACUCAAAGGAAUUGACGGGGGCCCGCACAAGCGGUGGAGUAUGUGGUUUAAUUCGAUGCAACGCGAAGAACCUUACCAAGACUUGACAUGUCGCGAAUUUCCUUGAAAGGGGAAAGUGCCUUCGGGAGCGCGAACACAGGUGGUGCAUGGCUGUCGUCAGCUCGUGUCGUGAGAUGUUGGGUUAAGUCCCGCAACGAGCGCAACCCUCGUUUUUAGUUGCCAGCAUUAAGUUGGGCACUCUAGAGAGACUGCCGGUGACAAACCGGAGGAAGGUGGGGAUGACGUCAAGUCAGCAUGCCCCUUACGUCUUGGGCUACACACGUACUACAAUGCUACGGACAGAGGGCAGCUAAACAGCGAUGUCAAGCAAAUCCCGUAAACCGUAGCUCAGUUCAGAUCGCAGGCUGCAACUCGCCUGCGUGAAGGAGGAAUCGCUAGUAAUUGCAGGUCAGCAUACUGCAGUGAAUUCGUUCCCGGGCCUUGUACACACCGCCCGUCACACCAUGGAAGCUGGCAACGCCCGAAGUCAUUACU
rnacentral:rRNA from 4 species